GACGAACGCUGGCGGCGUGCCUAACACAUGCAAGUCGAGCGAAUGAAGUUCCUUCGGGACUGGAUUUAGCGGCGGACGGGUGAGUAACACGUGGGCAACCUGCCUCAUAGAGGGGAAUAGCCUUCCGAAAGGGAGAUUAAUACCGCAUAAGAUUGUAGUAUCGCAUGAUACAGCAAUUAAAGGAGCAAUCCGCUAUGAGAUGGGCCCGCGGCGCAUUAGCUAGUUGGUGAGGUAACGGCUCACCAAGGCGACGAUGCGUAGCCGACCUGAGAGGGUGAUCGGCCACAUUGGGACUGAGACACGGCCCAGACUCCUACGGGAGGCAGCAGUGGGGAAUAUUGCACAAUGGGGGAAACCCUGAUGCAGCAACGCCGCGUGAGUGAUGACGGCCUUCGGGUUGUAAAGCUCUGUCUUCAGGGACGAUAAUGACGGUACCUGAGGAGGAAGCCACGGCUAACUACGUG
rnacentral:rRNA from 1 species